rnacentral:rRNA from 1 species
GAUGAACGCUAGCUACAGGCUUAACACAUGCAAGUCGAGGGGUAACGAGAGGAAAGCUUGCUUUCCUUGUCGACGACCGGCGCACGGGUGAGUAACGCGUAUCCAACCUGCCCCCAACUAGGGAAUAACCUUGCGAAAGUAAGACUAAUACCCUAUAAUUUCCUCAGAUGUCAUCUGACGAGGAAUAAAGAUUUAUCGGUUGUGGAUGGGGAUGCAUCUGAUUAGCUUGUUGGCGGGGUAACGGCCCACCAAGGCAACGAUCAGUAGGGGUUCUGAGAGGAAGGUCACCCACAUUGGAACGGAGACACGGUCCAAACUCCUACGGGAGGCAGCAGUGAGGAAUAUUGGUCAAUGGGCGGAAGCCUGAACCAGCCAAGUAGCGUGCAGGAUGACGGCCCUAUGGGUUGUAAACUGCUUUUAUACAGGAAUAAAGUUAGCCACGUGUGGUUAUUUGUAGGUACUGUAUGAAUAAGGACCGGCUAAUUCCGUGCCAGCAGCCGCCGUAA